rnacentral:lncRNA from 1 species
CCGGAAGUUCAGCCCACUGGCGAAGGCGGUAUCACGGAGUCUGGCGUGCUGUGCUUCCGCAGUGUCCACAGGGAAGCCAAGGAGCACGGGUUGAUACCCGGGAUCUUUCUUCUCUACACACAUGUACCUGGUCUCUCUGUGUCCAGUGAAAACUGAAAGUGUUAGUUUCUCAGUGAUGUCCAACUCUUUGAGACUCCAUGGGCUAUAGCCUGCCAGGCUCCUCUGUCUAUGGGAUUCUCCAGUAAUCUGGUAGAACUGAAGAUCAAAGACAUAUUUGACCUACUAAUUAGUUGCCAGUUGCUGAAGCUGAAGCUCCAGGAAACACCUGAUGCAAAGAGCUGACUCAUUGGAAAAGACCUUCAGCUUGGAAAGACUGAAGGCAAGAGGAGAAGGGGGAAACAAAGGGUGAGAUGGUUGAAUGGUAUCGCCAACUAAAUGGGUGUAAGUUUUAGCAAACUCUGAGAUAGUUAAGGACCAGGAAACACCAUGUUGCAGUUCACGAGGUUGCCAAGAGUUGGAGGUGACUUAGCAACUGAAAAACAAUGGCAUUAAUUAGAGUUGAAGUUCUUUAAUCAAUAAACUUUCAUUUGUUAACUAUAAAAUGUAUAUUAUGAAGUCCAGAUUGCAG